rnacentral:rRNA from 1 species
CGCUAGCUACAGGCUUAACACAUGCAAGUCGAGGGGCAGCGGGAAGGGAGCUUGCUCCCUUUGCCGGCGACCGGCGCACGGGUGAGUAACGCGUAUCCAACCUGCCCGGCACCCGGGGACAGCCCUCUGAAAGGAGGAUUAAUACCCGAUGCCCUCAUGAGUCCGCAUGGUCUUAUGAGGAAAGUUUUAUUGCGGUGCCGGUUGGGGAUGCGUCCCAUUAGGUAGUUGGAGGGGUAACGGCCCACCAAGCCAUCGAUGGGUAGGGGUUCUGAGAGGAAGGUCCCCCACAUUGGAACUGAGACACGGUCCAAACUCCUACGGGAGGCAGCAGUGAGGAAUAUUGGUCAAUGGGCGGAAGCCUGAACCAGCCAAGUAGCGUGCGGGAUGAAGGCCCUAUGGGUUGUAAACCGCUUUUGUUGGGGAAUAACGGCGGCCACGUGUGCCGAGAGGAAUGUACCCUUCGAAUAAGCAUCGGCUAAUUCCGUGCCAGCAGCCGCGGUAAUACGGAAGAUGCAGGCGUUAUCCGGAUUUAUUGGGUUUAAAGGGAGCGUAGGCGGGCGUUUAAGUCAGCGGUGAAAUCAUGCGGCUCAACCGUGUGUUGCCGUUGAUACUGGAUGCCUUGAGUACGGACAGGGCGCGUGGAAUUCGUGGUGUAGCGGUGAAAUGCUUAGAUAUCACGAAGAACUCCGAUCGCGAAGGCAGCGCGCCGGGCCGGGACUGACGCUGAGGCUCGAAAGUGCGGGUAUCAAACAGGAUUAGAUACCCUGGUAGUCCGCACGGUAAACGAUGAAUGCUCGCUGUGGGCGAUACAAUGUCCGUGGCCAAGCGAAAGCGUUAAGCAUUCCACCUGGGGAGUACGCCGGCAACGGUGAAACUCAAAGGAAUUGACGGGGGCCCGCACAAGCGGAGGAACAUGUGGUUUAAUUCGAUGAUACGCGAGGAACCUUACCCGGGCUUGAACUGCAGGUGCAUGGUGCAGAGAUGUGCCUUUCCUUCGGGACUCCUGCGGAGGUGCUGCAUGGUUGUCGUCAGCUCGUGCCGUGAGGUGUCGGCUUAAGUGCCAUAACGAGCGCAACCCCUCUCCACAGUUGCCAUCGGGUAAUGCCGGGCACUCUGUGGACACUGCCGCCGCAAGGCGUGAGGAAGGUGGGGAUGACGUCAAAUCAGCACGGCCCUUACGUCCGGGGCCACACACGUGUUACAAUGGCGGGUACAGAGGGCCGCGACCGGGCGACCGGCAGCCAAUCCCGAAAUCCCGUCCCAGUUCGGACUGGAGUCUGCAACCCGACUCCACGAAGCUGGAUUCGCUAGUAAUCGCGCAUCAGCCAUGGCGCGGUGAAUACGUUCCCGGGCCUUGUACACACCGCCCGUCAAGCCAUGAAAGCCGGGGGCGCCUGAAGUCCGUGACC